rnacentral:rRNA from 1 species
UACGUAGGGGGGCAAGCGUUGUCCGGAAUCAUUGGGCGUAAAGAGCGUGUAGGCGGCCCGGUAAGUCCGCUGUGAAAGUCCAGGGCUCAACCCUGGGAUGCCGGUGGAUACUGUCGGGCUCGAGUCCGGAAGAGGCGAGUGGAAUUCCUGGUGAGCGGUGAAAUGCGCAGAUAUCAGGAGGAACACCAAUGGCGAAGGCAGCUCGCUGGGACGUGACUGACGCUGAGACGCGAAAGCUAGGGGAGCAAACAGG